UCUACGCUUGUACAAUUCACAGCUUCAACAUAAUGAAGUCAGGAGCUACUGUGCUUUUUCUAUUCUUUUUGUUUUCAGUGGAUUUUUCGAAUGCGGAUUCAACGCCAGCCUUAACACAGAACACAACAUUACAAGACAAUAUUAACGAACUCUUAGAAGCUAAGGAUAAACAUAUUAGUGAUCUUUUGGCAAUAGUUCGAAUAAAAGAUGAUCGUUUGGAAAAAGAUGAAGAAAUUAAAAAUCUUUUGGAUCAAAUUAAAGAAAAAGAUGAACUAAUUGGGAUACUACAUGCAAGAGAAAUUGCUAAAGACGAAGUUAUAAGAGUCAGAACCGAGCAAGUAGCAUACCUACUGCAUUAAUAAAUGGGAACUAAAAAUACAUAAAUGUUAAGGAUUUUACAAUCAUAAAAUGAUAGAAAAGAAAGCAAUUACUGUUUAGCAAAGAUCACCACACGCUUAAAAUUCUACGCAUGUCACAGAAAUAAAUGGAUAAUGCAUUGUUUAAAAAUACUACAGUUUCAACUCAAGUUCAAGCCCAUAAAUAAUUGUACUAAUUGAAUCGCUUGAUAAGAAGCAGUAACAAAAAUUUGAAUUCAAAUCUAGACCAAAAGACUUCUAUCGCAAGAAUGUCACGUCAUAACUACAUGCUAAGCAAAUAUACUUAUGCGCCUAAGAUUGUAUAGAUGUUCAAUUUAAUUUAAAAUAUUGUUUAAUUCCUUAUAAACGUCAUGCAGCUCUAAAAUUGAUGGAUAAUUACAUAUAUUAAAAAUAAAUGAAUAAGCUUUCAAGGAAAAUAAGCUGUAGAUAA